rnacentral:rRNA from 1 species
GAUGAACGCUGGCGGCGUGCCUAAUACAUGCAAGUCGAGCGAACGGACGAGAAGCUUGCGUCUCUGAUGUUAGCGGCGGACGGGUGAGUAACACGUGGAUAACCUACCUAUAAUACGGGGAUAACUUCGGGAAACCGGAGCUAAUACCAUAUGAUAUUUUGAACCACAGGGUGCAAUAGUGAAAGACGGUCUUUCUGUCACGUAUAGAUGGAUCCGCGCUGCAUUAGCUAGUUGGUAAGUUAACGGCUUAUCAAGGCAACGAUGCGUAGCCGACGGGAGUGGGUGGUCGGCCACAUUGGAAGUUGGCCACGGUCCUGAGUACUACGGGAGGCCGCAGUAGGGAACGUGCGGCAAUGGGCGGAAGCCUGACGGAGCGGCGCGGCGUGAGUGACGAAGGCCUUGGGAGCGUAAAGCUCUCUUAUUAGGGAAGAACAGAUGUGUAAGGAAACGUGCCCAGCUUGACGGUAACUAAUAAGAAAGCAACGGCUAACUACGUG